rnacentral:rRNA from 1 species
GACGAACGCUGGCGGCGUGCUUAACACAUGCAAGUCGAGCGGAAAGGCCUCUUCGGGGGUACUCGAGCGGCGAACGGGUGAGUAACACGUGAGUAAUCUGCCCUUCACUCUGGGAUAGCCACCGGAAACGGUGAUUAAUACCGGAUACGACACGUCCAGGCAUCUGGUGCGCGUGGAAACUUUUUGGGUGGGGGAUGUGCUCGCGGCCUAUCAGCUUGUUGGUGGGGUAAUGGCCUACCAAGGCUUCGACGGGUAGCCGGCCUGAGAGGGUGACCGGCCACACUGGGACUGAGACACGGCCCAGACUCCUACGGGAGGCAGCAGUGGGGAAUAUUGGACAAUGGGCGGAAGCCUGAUCCAGCAACGCCGCGUGAGGGAUGACGGCCUUCGGGUUGUAAAUCUCUUUCAGCACCGACGAAGCGAUCCUUUGGGGAGUGACGGUAGGUGCAGAAGAAGGACCGGCCAACUACGUGCCAGCCGCCGCAGUAAAAC